CCUACGGGGGGCAGCAGUGGGGAAUAUUGCACAAUGGGGGAAACCCUGAUGCAGCGACGCCGCGUGAGUGAAGAAGUAUUUCGGUAUGUAAAGCUCUAUCAGCAGGAACGAGACAAGACGGUACCUGACUAAGAAGCCCCGGCUAACUACGUGCCAGCAGCCGCGGUAAUACGUAGGGGGCAAGCGUUAUCCGGAAUCACUGGGUGUAAAGGGAGCGUAGACGGCUGAGCAAGCCUGAAGUGAAAGGCAGGGGCCCAACCCCUGGACUGCUUUGGGAACUGUACGGCUGGAGUGCAGGAGAGGUAAGUGGAAUUCCUAGUGUAGCGGUGAAAUGCGUAGAUAUUAGGAGGAACACCAGUGGCGAAGGCGGCUUACUGGACUGUAACUGACGUUGAGGCUCGAAAGCGUGGGGAGCAAACAGGAUUAGAUACCCUGGUAGUC
rnacentral:rRNA from 1 species